rnacentral:piRNA from 1 species
UCAUAUGUAUUUGAUAAGCACAGCCCACC